UACGUAGGGCGCAAGCGUUGUCCGGAAUUAUUGGGCGUAAAGAGCUCGUAGGCGGUCUGUCGCGUCUGCCGUGAAAACCCGAGGCUUAACCUCGGGCUGGCGGUGGAUACGGGCAGGCUGGAGGCAGGCAGGGGAGAACGGAAUUCCCGGUGUAGCGGUGAAAUGCGCAGAUAUCGGGAGGAACACCGGUGGCGAAGGCGGUUCUCUGGGCCUGUGCUGACGCUGAGGAGCGAAAGCGUGGGGAGCGAACAGG
rnacentral:rRNA from 1 species